rnacentral:rRNA from 1 species
AUGACAUUCCAGCACCACUGGUGCAUGCUUGUAGGCCUCGGAGAGGAGCACACGCUCAUGGCGCGAGGCCACACGGUUUGCAGCGUGGAUCUGCGCAUCACAAGAUGCACAGAGGUACGCGGAGUCGGCGCGGCAGUACACCACGCUUGGCACCGUGCAACAUCCGUCGCACAGCCUGGCCCAGCUCCCUUCUCGUCCAACCGCCUCCUCAUAAACGGUGCCGUUGGAAACACAAUUCAUGAACAAGGUGGCCUUGUGACUUGCACCACAAAGACCAUGCAAGGGGUAUUAGCGAAGGUAGUAGCUACUGUUUCCCUACAUAUUCUGUGUAUAUGUCUUCUUCUGCUCCUCUACCUCUCAUGGCUCUUUCGUAUGUGUUCAUGCACUGCCUAUGUGAGUAUGGAGGAAUGUCAGGAAUGUAGGACGUCCAGUCCAGAGUAUACUAAUAGUAGGGUGUCAGUGGGGUGA